rnacentral:ncRNA from 2 species
CCCGCUGAGUUUAAGCAUAUCAAUAAGCGGAGGAAAAGAAACUAACAAGGAUUCCCUUAGUAACGGCGAGCGCACCGGGAAGACCACAACUUGAAAAUCGGACGUCUUUGGCGUUCGAAUUGUAGUCUGGAGAAGUGUCCUCAGCGACGGACCGGGCCCAAAUUCCCUGGAAAGGGGCGCCAGAGAGAGUGAGAGCCCCGUCGUGCCCGGACCCUGUCGCACCACGAGGUGCUGUUUACGAGUCGGGUUGUUUGGGAAAGCAGCCCCAAUCGGGUGGUAAAUUCCAUCCAGGGCUAAAUAUGGGCGAGAGACCAAUAGCGAACAAGUACCGCGAGGUAAAGAUGAAAAAAUCUUUGAAAAGAGAGUCAAAGAGUGCUUGAAAUUAUCGGGAUAGAAGCGGAUGGGGGCCAGCGAUUUCAUCCCGGUCGGAUGCGGAACGGAGCAAUCCGGUCCGCUGAUCGAUUCGGGCCAUGGACCGAUGCGGAUUAAGGUGGUGACCUAAGCCCGGGCUUUUGUUACGCCCGCGGAGACAUCGCUGCCUUAAUCGUAGUCUGCAGCACCCGCCUCACGGCAUGCCUCGGCAUCUGCAUGCUCAGGGCGUCGGCCUGUGGGCUCCCCAUUCGACCCGUCUUGAAACACGG